rnacentral:rRNA from 1 species
CACGUAGGGGGCGAGCGUUGUCCGGAUUUAUUGGGCGUAAAGCGCGCGUAGGCGGGUUGGUAAGUCCGCUGUGAAAGCCCGGAGCUCAACUCCGGAGGGUCGGUGGAUACUGCCAGUCUUGAAGGUGCUAGGGGGAGAUGGAAUUACCGGUGUAGCGGUGAAAUGCGUAGAUAUCGGUAGGAACACCAGUGGCGAAGGCGGUCUCCUGGGGCAUUCUUGACGCUGAGGCGCGAAAGCUGGGGGAGCAAACGGG